UCUUAUGUCUUUAAACCCACUUUUAAAUGAUCCUGCCAAUCCCCCUGCUUUCCUAUUUCAAACUUACCACAUUAGGCAUAGAAACACAUCCAUCCCAACAUGGUCAGUUUUCUCGGCUGUACUUGGAGCACAGCCUGCUUGUCCUCCAUGUACAAAAGACUUGCGCUGACACGUCCCCCCACAUACACACAGCUCUUCUCUGGGAAGAUCAGCGUAUUGGGCCUCAUGCACACAGGACAUAUGAAAAAACCUCUGUAAAUGACAAAAUUGCUGGCAGUGAAACAUUUUGUAUGCACAUUUAUACGUGUUUAUGUACAUUCACAUUUACAAGCUUUUUUCCCCCCAAACACUCCCUCCCAUCUGCUAUAUUUUCACUCCCAAAUGCCCACAAUGCAUUGCAAAACAUUUAAUUUUUCGUUUUGAGUGACAUUUUCAUUGAGAGCAGAGGGAUUACUGUAUUUAGCAGGGAGCUAUCUGUCUUUCCUGGCUGCCUUCAAUAUGGAUCCCAUCAGCAACAUGAUUGAUGAAGCAGUCCUACUGAUUCUGUGGAAGAGGGUGAGAAGAUGGAGAGAAUUGGAUGAGAAGAGCAGCAUUCUUUGCUAAUGGACACAAAUCCAUUGCGUUUAUCUUCAGCAUGCUUCCCGAACAUGUAUAUGGGGCUGUGGAAUUAUCCUGACAAGUUCUUAAAAAUGUACACAGAUGUCUGUUGGCACCUUUUAUGAGCUUCAGAAGAGGCUGUGACCCUGACUAACUCGCAUGGACACCCAGAUGAGGAUGAGCAUGUCUCCUGCUAUCAUUCAGGUGUCUGUCAACAGGACAAUAUUUUGUGUUCUUUAUGGGUGUGAUCACAGUGGCAAAAGUGACCUGAGAAACCUGCUUGCCACAUUGUGGGAGGAGUUGCGUGAUGUUGUAAUGCCUCAUCCUGAAGGUGUUGGGGUGAAAAUGCCACUCAAGUCAGGAUCAAGGUAUUUCAUUUACAAGAAAUACUUUUUCAUUGUCCUAUUGAGAUUGGUGGAUGCCCACCUCUGCGUAACAUUCAUUGAUGUGGGAGCCUACAGCAGUUGAGGUGGUGCAAGAAUCCCAUUCAUGUGGGAGCCUACGGUAGUCUAGGUGAUGUGAAAAUCUUUGGAAAGUCUGCAAUGUGGUGUUGGCUAUAUAUAGGAUGUCUCUAGAUUCCCCCAAGAAGGCUUCUUCCAUGCACAAUGGAGCCAAGUCAUUAUGGCAAAUGGGGCUUUUGGAAUACCUGAGAACCUAAUGCACCCCUACAGUGGGCAUGGACUUAGUCACAAGCAGAAGAUGUUUUAAUAUUGAUUGAGCUAUGCCUGUCCAGUUGUGAAGUGUGCAUUUGGCGUCUGUACUGUGAAGUGGUAUAUACUGCUUUCCUGCAUGCAGUUGGAUGCUGAAAAAGCAAUCAAAGUGGUACUGGCCUGCUGCGUGCUCCAUAAUUUCCCUAUUGAUAAGGAAUGAGGCUCCUGUAAACCUGAAUCCACAACCUGUGCUCAUGAUGUCCACUUUAUGGACUUAUGUUAGUAUAUAAGUGAGCAUUGGAAAUUAAUUAGCAGAUUUCUUUGUUUCUCCAGAGGGUAAAGUGUCCUGGCAGGAUCAAUAUGUGUAGCUGGAUGUCAUUUGAUAUCAGUUGACUUUGCAUUUUAACAGGUGUCCUUGUGCUCAAAAUAAAGAAAAUCUUUUUGACUUUGAAUAAAGGAUUUAAACUUC